CCUACGGGAGGCAGCAGUGGGGAAUUUUGGACAAUGGGCGCAAGCCUGAUCCAGCCAUGCCGCGUGCAGGAUGAAGGCCUUCGGGUUGUAAACUGCUUUUGUACGGAACGAAAAGACUCUGGUUAAUACCUGGGGUCCAUGACGGUACCGUAAGAAUAAGCACCGGCUAACUACGUGCCAGCAGCCGCGGUAAUACGUAGGGUGCGAGCGUUAAUCGGAAUUACUGGGCGUAAAGCGUGCGCAGGCGGUUAUAUAAGACAGAUGUGAAAUCCCCGGGCUCAACCUGGGAACUGCAUUUGUGACUGUAUAGCUAGAGUACGGCAGAGGGGGAUGGAAUUCCGCGUGUAGCAGUGAAAUGCGUAGAUAUGCGGAGGAACACCGAUGGCGAAGGCAAUCCCCUGGGCCUGUACUGACGCUCAUGCACGAAAGCGUGGGGAGCAAACAGGAUUAGAUACCCUGGUAGUCCACGCCCUAAACGAUGUCAACUGGUUGUUGGGUCUUCACUGACUCAGUAACGAAGCUAACGCGUGAAGUUGACCGCCUGGGGAGUACGGCCGCAAGGUUGAAACUCAAAUGAAUUGACGG
rnacentral:rRNA from 1 species